rnacentral:lncRNA from 1 species
GGCGCCGCCGAUCAUUGCGGGGCUUAUUUUGGUUCUAAAGCCCGGGGCAGCCCGGCCUCCCUGCCUGGCCUCGGCGGGGACCCGGAACCUGGGGCCCCGGACCGGGCCUGACCGCCCUGGCCGGUCCCCACUGAUGGUGGCGGUCGGUCCUGACUGUCCUGAUGGCAGCGACCAGGCUGGACUCGGGCUGUGCGGGGGCGAGGGGAGCAGCGCGGGGUGACGCCCGGAGAGCGGCCUGGAGAGCGCGUGCCUCAGAAGGCGCGGGCACCCUGUCCCCUUGCAGAUGGGGACGCGGGCCCUGGUGGCCGUGGAGGGGAGGAGGGGCGUGGACGCUGCGGGGCAGAGGAAGCUGGAAGUUUGGCUGCUGUAACUGACUGGGAAGCUUAAAAUAACAGACAAUCAUCUCUCACAUUUAUGGGGACUGGGAAGUCCAAGACCAAGUUGCCAUCUGGGGAGGGCCCGUUCCUCACAGCGCCUUCCAGCUCAGGCCUCAUUUAUAAGGGUACUCAUCCCAUCCACGACAAUGGGUCCUCAUGACUUACUCACCUCGGAAAGCCCCCACCCCCUAAGACCAUCACAUUGUGGGUGAGGAUUUCAACAUAGGAAUUUGGGGGCUGCAAACAAUUACACCAUGGCAGAGCAUAAGGUGCCUUCCCCCACGUGCUCGGGUAGACCCAGCGUCUCAUGCUAGCAGCUACGUGGAAUUGUUAUUUUUUCUGGAGAACUCUGGGACCCCUCUGAUGUCUUGGAGCACCUGCACAGGCCAUUCACUGUCUGAUGUCUUGGAGCACCUGCACAGGCCAUUCACUGUGCACGCUGUGAGGCCGUCCUCUGGGGAGUUCUGCUGUUCUGUGGGUUCUGUCUGUAUCAGUGUCCCAGCGGGAAUGCAGGGCACAUUAGCGUCGUCCCCAGAGGG